GGAGCGUGAAUCUGAUGUGGACCUUCCUCCACCUUCUCUUCCUGGAGCAAACUCUUCACCCCAGGCCUGCUCUCCUCUACAAAACAUACAGACAACACCAGGUCCUGGGUCCCUGGAGGACACCACCAAUACUGUGAGGUGAUGGUGAGGUGAUGGUGGCUGAUGCACAGGGGUAAAUGCGAGACGAUCAACACCUUCAUUCAUGAGGAUGUGGCCACGUUGGCAUAUCUCUGCAGAAUUCCACCUCUGCCCUCUACCAACAGCUGCUGUGUGCACAACAGUCACAAAGUGCGCACCAUGCCCAAAGACCCCUGAGAUCAAGAGUUGCAUGCUUUAUCCUUGGAGCCACCCAGAUGCCCCUACACAAUCCAUUUCUGAGGGCAGUUUUUCUACCCACAAGAGGGAGAAUCUGUAGGUGACUUUCUUCUCUACCCUGUGACUCCACCAAAAUCAUGUCAAGGCUUUAAAUCAAAGGAAGGCACCUGACUCUAGGGCAGCCAUCCACGGACUGACAGGCUGGGUGCCCAUGAAAGAAACUGGUCUGGAGAUUUUACUGUCCUGGAAUAAGGCUGACAAAACUGGAUACUCUUAUUUUCAUUUCCCCCCAUAAUUCCAGGAGCUGUGAUUGUAUUGUCUUCGUUUGUGACCUUUAGCAUGUAGCCUAUUGCUUGUUAUAAGAGAGCUUUCAAUAAAUCUUUAAUGGGCCAUUGUAAUAGGUGUAAU
rnacentral:lncRNA from 1 species